UCUACGGGUGGCAGCAGUGGGGAAUAUUGGACAAUGGGCGAAAGCCUGAUCCAGCCAUGCCGCGUGUGUGAAGAAGGCCUUCGGGUUGUAAAGCACUUUCAGUGGGGAAGAAAGCCUUGGGGCUAAUACCCUCGAGGAAGGACAUCACCCACAGAAGAAGCACCGGCUAACUCCGUGCCAGCAGCCGCGGUAAUACGGAGGGUGCGAGCGUUAAUCGGAAUUACUGGGCGUAAAGCGCGCGUAGGCGGUCUGAUAAGCCGGUUGUGAAAGCCCCGGGCUCAACCUGGGAACGGCAUCCGGAACUGUCAGGCUAGAGUGCAGGAGAGGAAGGUAGAAUUCCCGGUGUAGCGGUGAAAUGCGUAGAGAUCGGGAGGAAUACCAGUGGCGAAGGCGGCCUUCUGGACUGACACUGACGCUGAGGUGCGAAAGCGUGGGUAGCAAACAGGAUUAGAUACCCUAGUAGUC
rnacentral:rRNA from 1 species